rnacentral:rRNA from 1 species
UACGAAGGGGGGCUAGCGUUGCUCGGAAUGACUGGGCGUAAAGGGCGCGUAGGCGGCUUGCAUAGUCAGAUGUGAAAUUCCUGGGCUUAACCUGGGGGCUGCAUUUGAUACGUGUGGGCUUGAGUGCGGAAGAGGGUCGUGGAAUUCCCAGUGUAGUGGUGAAAUACGUAGAGAUUGGGAAGAACACCAGUGGCGAAGGCGGCUAUCUGGACGGUUUCUGACACUAAGACUCGAAAGCGUGGGGAGCAAACAGG